GUUAUGAAUCAGUCGUGUGUGUCAUCAUAUCAGUGGGGUACUAUCAUGAAGUAAUAUAGGUUUACUACAGAAAUCAAUAGGGCCCUGCUGCAGGUCGGACAUACUUCACGUACCAGAAAUGGUCCAAUGGGAAGUUCUCGUAUUAAACCCUCUUAUUUUUUUGGUGGGGAACCUCUUCAUAUAUCAGCCCUUCGAUGGUCCUCUAGACUGGUUCUUGGCCUUGGUGUUGCUUGUGUGCAUUGGUGUACUGGUGUAUCGGGCAUAUACUUAAAACAGCAGAUCAGCACGUCGUGGAAAAUGAUGUAAUCAUGAAAAGGGAGUUUGCGGUUCCCAGCUUGUGUAGAUGGAUUACUUCCAAUCCGAUCAUUCCACUUACGGGCCCGGAGUUCAAACAUAUCGUUAAGGCUUCGUUAGCUUAACGAUAGUUUUGAACAAUCGAGCCCAGAAUAACAGCACUAUGCUUAAAACCAGUUAACAUCAUUGCACAUUGUGAUCAAAACAACCUUCAUUAAUUACUUUUUAACUUAUGUAUGAUACCAUUAUAUAUUUAUGUUGUGCUCGCAAUCAUUUCAUCAUUGUCACGAAACUUACGAUUUCCAUUGAAUUUCCUGUUCUGUUGUAAGUAUGACCACAAGUAUGACAUGAUGAGGGUUAAUUGGAUAGCGCUGUUAUCCAAUGAAUCAGUCCGAUCAUUUAUCAUCGGAUGUGUCCGAUUUUACUUAUCUUAAAUGUCUUCAUUUCAUAUAACAUAUGAUGAAUCUCGUCUCGAAGUUUACAUUUUCCUCGCAAAGGCUCGCAAAGAUAAACGAAUGAAAAUAAUAAAAAGACUCGUUUCAUAAAAUAUCUUUUGAAAUGGAAAUUCAAAAGAUGCUAUAUUUGUAAUGGUUAAAUUGAGACUUGACAGGGAAAAUGUCGUUAAUGAGAUUACGUCUGUAAAUAUUCAGCAUUAUGUAUAUUUAAUAUUGAUUGUUUACUAUGUUAAGUUAUUAUGGUCAAACUUUUGUUAUAUUUUCCUAAAAUGUUCAA